rnacentral:rRNA from 1 species
AGAUUGAACGCUGGCGGCAGGCCUAACACAUGCAAGUCGAGCGGCAGCACGGGUACUUGUACCUGGUGGCGAGCGGCGGACGGGUGAGUAAUGCCUAGGAAUCUGCCUGAUAGUGGGGGGAUAACGUUCGGAAACGGACGCUAAUACCGCAUACGUCCUACGGGAGAAAGUGGGGGAUCUUCGGACCUCACGCUAUCAGAUGAGCCUAGGUCGGAUUAGCUAGUUGGUAGGGUAAAGACCUACCAAGGCUACGAUCCGUAACUGGUCUGAGAGGAUGAUCAGUCACACUGGAACUGAGACACGGUCCAGACUCCUACGGGAGGCAGCAGUGGGGAAUAUUGGACAAUGGGCGAAAGCCUGAUCCAGCCAUGCCGCGUGUGUGAAGAAGGUCUUCGGAUUGUAAAGCACUUUAAGUUGGAGAAGGCAUUAACCAAUUACGUAGUGUUUGACGUUACGACAGAAUAAGCACGCUAACUCUGUGCCAGCAGCG